rnacentral:rRNA from 1 species
UUAGCCAGUUGGCAGGGUAACGGCCUACCAAAUCGACGAUCAGUAGCCGGCCUGAGAGGGUGGACGGCCACAUUGGGACUGAGACACGGCCCAAACUCCUACGGGAGGCAGCAGUGGGGAAUAUUGCACAAUGGGGGAAACCCUGAUGCAGCGACGCCGCGUGAGCGAAGAAGUAUUUCGGUAUGUAAAGCUCUAUCAGCAGGGAAGAAAAUGACGGUACCUGACUAAGAAGCCCCGGCUAACUACGUGCCAGCAGCCGCGGUAAUACGUAGGGGGCAAGCGUUAUCCGGAUUUACUGGGUGUAAAGGGAGCGUAGACGGUGAAGUAAGUCUGGAGUGAAAGGCGGGGGCCCAACCCCCGGACUGCUCUGGAAACUAUUUGACUGGAGUGCAGGAGAGGUAGGCGGAAUUCCUAGUGUAGCGGUGAAAUGCGUAGAUAUUAGGAGGAACACCAGUGGCGAAGGCGGCUUGCUGGACGAUGACUGACGUUGAGGCUCGAAAGCGUGGGGAGCAAACAGGAUUAGAUACCCUGGUAGUCCACGCCGUAAACGAUGAUUACUAGGUGUGGGGGGGGCUGACCCCUUUCCGUGCCGCAGUUAACACAAUAAGUAAUCCACCUGGGGAGUACGUUCGCAAGAAUGAAACUCAAAGGAAUUGACGGGGGCCCGCACAAGCGGAGGAACAUGUGGUUUAAUUCGAUGAUACGCGAGGAACCUUACCCGGGCUCAAACGGGGAGUGACUCAGGCAGAGACGCCUGUUUCCCACGGGACACUCCCCGAGGUGCUGCAUGGUUGUCGUCAGCUCGUGUCGUGAGAUGUUGGGUUAAGUCCCGCAACGAGCGCAACCCUUAUUGUUAGUUGCUACGCAAGAGCACUCUAGCGAGACUGCCGUUGACAAAACGGAGGAAGGUGGGG